rnacentral:misc_RNA from 1 species
UGGACAAAGUUGCAAAAAAGGUUUUGUACUCUCUUAUGUAUUUUGAGUAUAUUUCUUUAUAUGUACAGAUAGAUGGAAGAAGGCAUCUAAACUCAGUACCUUAGAGAUCGAAAAGUGUACUAAACAUCAGUACGCGCACAAGCCAACAGUCAUCGAGGUAGAUCUAUUGUGACACCAUUAUCCUUCUGUAGUUCUAUCGUUUAAUUGAACUCUCAUCUUUCAGUAUUUUCUUCAGAUGACAGUGGGAGCUCUUUUGAUGAGGAACAAAACUGUGGAACAAGAAAGGAAGUUCUGCUGGUGGAUGGUUUCUUAGAUGAUGAAGAUUCAGCAGUAGAGCAUA